rnacentral:rRNA from 1 species
AUUGAACGCUGGCGGCAGGCCUAACACAUGCAAGUCGAACGAGUGGCGGACGGGUGAGUAAUGUCUGUGAAACUGCCCGAUGGAGGGGGAUAACUACUGGAAACGGUAGCUAAUACCGCAUACCAUCGGAUGUGCCCAUAUGGGAUUAGCUAGUAGGUGGGGUAACGUCUCACCUAGGCGACGAUCCCUAGCUGUUCUGAGAGGAUGACCAGACACACUGGAACGGAGACACGGUCCAGACUCCUACGGGAGGCAGCAGUGGGGAAUAUUGCACAAUGGGCGCAAGCCUGAUGCAGCCAUGCCGCGUGUGUGAAGAAGGCCUUAGGGUUGUAAAGUACUUUCAGCGAGGAGGCGUUACGCGCAGAAGAAGCACCGGCUAACUCCGUGCCAGCCGCCGCGGUAAUAC